rnacentral:siRNA from 1 species
UAACGUACUGCCAAACCCGUC